CCUACGGGAGGCUGCAGUGAGGAAUAUUGGUCAAUGGCCGAGAGCCUGAACCAGCCAAGUCGCGUGAGGGAAGACGGCCCUACGGGUUGUAAACCUCUUUUGUCGGGGAGCAAAGCGAGCCACGCGUGACGCAUUGAGAGUACCCGAAGAAAAAGCAUCGGCUAACUCCGUGCCAGCAGCCGCGGUAAUACGGAGGAUGCGAGCGGUAUCCGGAUUUAUUGGGUUUAAAGGGUGCGCAGGCGGAGGUGCAAGUCAGCGGUAAAAUUGCGGGGCUCAACCCCGUACUGCCGUUGAAACUGCAGCACUUGAGUGCGCGAGAAGUAUGCGGAAUGCGUGGUGUAGCGGUGAAAUGCAUAGAUAUUACGCAGAACUCCGAUUGCGAAGGCAGCAUACCGGCGCGCAACUGACGCUGAUGCACGAAAGCGUGGGUAUCGAACAGGAUUAGAUACCCGAGUAGUC
rnacentral:rRNA from 1 species